rnacentral:misc_RNA from 1 species
AGACAGCAUCGCUUAGGUAGUACGUUGCGUCUAAAAAUAUCUGCAGCUUGGAGUAGUCAGUGAUACAUCGAGAAUGAACGACUGGAAUCUCUAUACCAAAUAAUGGCCUUACCUGAAGACACAUUCUCGCGCCAUCUUUAAUCUCACAUACAUUUCAAACAGAAUGAAUAGACGCGUGCUGAUAAUCGUCUCCCUGCUGGGGAUAUCCAUAUUAUUGUUCUACAAAGGUGGCUUAUUCCAAAUGGCCGGUCCCAAAAUGAUAGAGCAGGAAAGUGGAAACAAAAUCAAUGUGGUGCUAUUUACGCCGAAAACAACACAGUCUCUACCGAAAAUCGAACUUAUUCCUGAAAAAGUUGAAAAAUACAAUUUUACAAAAAGCAAAAAGAGACCAUUGCAAGAAAAGCUUCAGCCAGUAGAUAUCGCUGAUUGGACAAUAUUGGCCGAAAUGCCAACUUACAAACAACCGAAAAGAGUGCUACAAUCUGAUUGGUGGAAAGCCGCCGCAUUUUUAGAAAUGUUCGUGCAUUGGAGAUUUUAAAAAGAGACCUAAAGAUUUACGGUGCAGAAAACAAAAGUCGGUGGGAAACUGGUUUUUGUGCCAAGACGAGCCUUAUAAAGUAAAGGAACCAUGUCUCGUAUACUCAUUUGGCAUAGGCAAUGACUUUAGCUUUGAUGACGCCAUGGCAAAACUUGGCUGUGAAGUGCAUUCUUUCGAUCCAAGCAUGAAUAUGCCUGAGCACGUGAGAAAUACAAGUGUAGUAUUCCAUCCUAUUGGACUCAGCACCAGCGUGAUCAAGGACUUUAAUCCACGUCACGAUAUCUACGUCAUACAGGAUCAGAGAUGGACCAUGAUGGACCUCCUCAGCAUCAUGGAAAUGCUAGGUCACAAAAACAGAGUGCUGGACUACUUGAAGAUAGACGUAGAGGGACACGAAUGGUCUGUGAUUGAUUAUUUACUCAAAAAUGGAAUCACCUCCAGAAUCAGACAUUUCUCCCUGGAGUAUCAUAUUUUCCCGGACUGGCCGGAUAAAGCCAGAUAUCCAGAUUUACUUAGAACCUAUAAAAGACUAAAAGAGGCCAGUUUUUACAAAUAUUUCACCGGCAUACACCCAUUAAAUCAUACUCCCAAAAAAUUCAACAUUCAAGCUGAUGUUUGUUAUGUAAACAUUAAAUUUCAAAGCUGAC